UAAAUAAAGAGUUUUUUAAAAAAUGUGGAGUCUAAAUAAUAUUAGCAAUAAAUCAACACGAGCAGAAUAUAUAUUAUCAUGAAUAAAGUCAGAGAGCAACAGAGGUCCUUAAACCAAACUUAAAGCAUAGUGGGCUAGCUCAUGAUCUACCUGUUUGCCGUUUUUCGUAUAAGAAUAAGAAAAAGGGAAUUUGGCCUUAUAUCCUUAUUUUAAACACCUCAAUGAAAAAUACUCCUGUCCUUUAAAACUUUUUUCAUUUACCCAUCUUUUUUUCAUUAUUUCAACUUUAUCCUUACUCUGUAAACCACGUGCAAUUUUUUUCUCUCACUGAUCAACAUCUCACCUACCACAUUCCACAUCCAGACAGAGCGUUUACAGCUUUAGCAGCUCACCUCUUCUUCUCUGCUGCUUGUCUUCUGGUGAUGUUCUUCCCCAACAUAUGUCUACAACCCCAUCGCUUCCAAUCAGCUCCCUCUGGCCGUAAUCAGCGAUAUUUACCUUCUAGACUUCGUGGAUCUGUCUGGGUUUGUUCAGGAAAUCUCUUCCAAGGUCAGCAGAGUGGUGGUUUCAGAUCACUACAAGACCGCAGUAGAUUGCAGUGAGAGUUCUUGUUCAGUUGGUGAGAAUGUGGAGAGGGUUAUUGACAUCCGGAGGAGUGGAGCUACUGUUGUUUUUUAUUAUUUCAAGGAAAGAGCUGAUAGUGGUCUAAAAGAUUUGAAUUUUGUUUCGAUGAGGGUUUGAUCUUUGAAUCCAUCUUCGUUCAAACGGUCAGGGAUUAACCGGCUUAUCCUAGAAGUAGGAAUGAUUCUCUUGGUCAAUCAUAUGAGAUUGCUCUUGUGGCUAGAGCAUUUGGAGAUUGCCUGGCUAUGAAAGCUGAUUCUGUAUUGGAGUUGAG